AUUAACCUAUUUCCAGGUAUCAAACAAUAACAACUGACGAUAUGAGUAUAUUUGUCGAAAUGAGUACGUACUAACAUUGACAGAUUCCGAAGUGCUGACGUAGCUGAAGAUGUCAAAUACGUUGCAUCUUGCAAAAUCUCCUACAGCGAACUGGAUAAGAAACCACUAAAGGUAUUUGGACAUUCAAGUUCUCGAUUCGCCACCACCUAUAAAAGCAGCAAGCCUCAACUUCAUCACGUGGAUUUCACAAACCAGUAAUAAAGCAGAAAUGGAACUCAUCUCUUACAUCUCACUCCAAAUCAGCAUUACGCCGCUAAUAGCAACUUUAGCCCUGGCAUCUUCCUCAGAUUCUCCAGGUCCUCCAGUUAAUAAGAAGUUAGGAGACUAUUGCGAGGCCACAAGCCAGUGUGAACACGGAAGCUGCUGCUUGAGGCCGAUCGGCGGUGUAUACCCAACUUGCCAACCCCUGUCAAAAAUAACAGAACAGUGUUCAAUCUCACCCAUCGAUGGAGUCUAUAUGUAUACUUGCCCCUGUGUAGAUGGAGCGCGCUGCGAUCCCAGCAUGUAUUUGUGUGUGCCACCAGUAUCUAAUCCUUACCAAUUUAUUAUGGAACAAAAAGGUCGUAAAUGAAUAAAGGAAGAUUGACGCUCCAUUGCGAAGUA